UACCACCCCUGCAAUACCAAUCCAUACAACGUUUGAUUCUUCGUCUUAUUUAUUUUUUAAUGGUAAAUAUUCUUAUUGUUAUUAGAUGAUAAAACAUGAAUAAUACUUUAUAUAUGCCUAUUUUAUUAAAAAAUAUAAAAUUUUCAAAUAAAACGGAUGGUCAAAUGUUGGAUACAGAAAUACAAAAAUGAACUUAAU
rnacentral:pre_miRNA from 1 species